CCAAUAGCGUAUAUUAAAGUUGUUGCAGUUAAAAAGCUCGUAGUUGAAUUUUAGGCCUGACCGGACGGUCCGUCUCUGGCGAGUACUGUUCUGUUGUCGGGUCUAUCCUUCUGGUGAGCCGGUAUGCCCUUUAUUGGGUGUGUCGGGGAACCAGGACCAUUACCUUGAAAAAAUUAGAGUGUUUAAAGCGGGCUUUUGCUUGAAUAGAUUAGCAUGGAAUAAUAGAAUAGGACGUUGGUUCUAUUUUGUUGGUCUAGGACCACCGUAAUGAUUAAUAGGGAUAGUUGGGGGCAUUAGUAUUCAAUUGUCAGAGGUGAAAUUCUUGGAUUUAUUGAAGACUAACUACUGCGGAAGCAUUUGCCAAGGAUGUUUUCAUUAAUCAAGAACGAAAGUUAGGGGAUCGAAGACGAUCAGAUACCGUCGUAGUCUUAACCAUAAACUAUGCCGACUAGGAAUCGGGCGACGUUAUUUUCAUGACUCGCUCGGCGCCUUAUG
rnacentral:rRNA from 1 species